GGGAAAAAGUGGAACCUUGUUUCAAUGAGAGAUCAUUGCCCUUAGAAGUGGUGAGAUAAGCUUUCUAGACUUCUCCAACCACAACCACCUUCAGUCUCCAUAAGGCAGCUCUUAACAAUACUUGACAAACUUAGCAUCAGCAGACAGUUGCGCCAAUACUCUGAACAGUUAAGAGGUAAUACAUAUAUAUAUAUAUGGUAGAGUGCGCUACUCUCAGUGAUCUAAGGAUGUUAUUUUUCUAUUAGGCAGUAUGGGGCAAAUUACGGGUCACGUUGCAGUAAACUUAGUUGGGCCAUUACUGAUCAGCAGGUUUUUCAAUGACUAAGUUUAGAAGGAAGAGGCAGAGCAUAGCACAGCGAUGCUAGGUAGCUGAGAGCAGAGUUAAGGAAUGUUUUGAACAGUUAAAGCUGCAGCAGGACAGGAUGUAUGACUGUUAGCGUGUUAGCGGGUGGUUGGCGGGAGAGGGGAGGUGGUUCACCUGAAGAAGAUAAGCAUAGUUUAGAUUGAGGAUCUGUGGCAGAGGAGAGGAUCAAAUGUUAAACUCUAUUGUUUAGCUGUUGAUAAUGUCCACUUCUUGUCAUCGUAUUGAUGGGCUAUAGAUCCAAGUUCUUAAUGAACCUGAGAAACUACUAGGAUUACUAAAAGAAAAGUAAAAUUAUUAUUUUACUCUUUAUUACAUUCAGGGGAUGUCUUUUUUUCUUCAUGGCAAUUAUGAAAUAGUAAUCUGAUUUGAACAUGUGUAGUAUUCAAGAUGGCCUGGUUCCUUUUAAUAGUUCUGAUAUAAAGUGCAAAACUAGAUUGUAUUUCUUGCAAUUUCCUGGAAUAUUUAGAUAUUUAGUAAAAAAGUCAUGUAAAAUACACCAAACUUGUUUUUAUAAAGGUAAAGAUAAGAAAAUCCUCAUUAACAACAUCAAACAGCAAGGAGCCGUCCUCUAUGCAGAAAAUAUAUACAAGAGGCACCUGAAAUUUGGUAUAAAGUAUUCAGCUAAAGACAUUUCUGUUUUUAGAAUAACCUUAAUCUCUGAGAUUCAGUUGACAGAUCAGACGACUAUCAAGAAUGCUAGUUGAAGUAAAAAAACUAAAAUGUAAGUUCAUGAGUUUCUUCUCUU
ensembl:lncRNA